CUCGUGCCCGUCCACCGAACGGUCGGCAGGCGAUCCGCGUCGUUCAUUUUGGGUGGUAUGGUUCCCCAGAGGCCGGUUCUUGURCUGCCUACCCCUUCAGGGGAAGCGCGCCACUUGAUGUAAGCCUCCAUCCGGCGCCCUCCAACGGGCGCAGGAGGACAACGGAGCACCCCCCGCGUUCCACCGAGCCUUAGCCGGUCGCGUGGCGCGCGGGGACGUGCGAUGCUCUCGGACCCAGCGAACGCCGUGGGCGAGGACUCACGUCCCAGUCCCGAUAGAAGCUCCGAUAUAAUAAUGCAUGACGUCCGUUCCCGACCCCCGACCGCCCCGGCGGUGAGGGGGCGAGGCGCGGCGUCGCGGAGGAAUGCUACCUGGUUGAUCCUG
rnacentral:misc_RNA from 1 species